rnacentral:misc_RNA from 1 species
AAGCCAUUAUUUUCAAGUUGAAUCAGUCGGGUUCUAAUUGAUAUCACUUGCUCAGGAGACAACCGCGCGUCAGUCCAAAACACGGCAAGACCAGACGGACCAUUAUCACCACGGACGAUCAUACUGCUGUCAUAAGGAACUCAAGAGAAACUUGUUUUUGUGGUUGCGUGUGUCGCAUUGGCGCAUUGCGAGUCGUCUGAGAAGAAGAUCGAAAAACGAGGCCUGCUAUAUGGAC